CCUGAACUCGAGUAGGCCCCAAGCAAGCAAGGAAGGAAGGAGGAAGCAGGCAGCAGACCCUCUGCCCAGACCAGACCAUCCAGAACAGCUAUUGCUAGGCAUUAAUAACUAUCACACUAAAAGAAAGAGUACCGGCAAGCAUUCAAAGUUCAUACCUUCAUCUCUAUGACAGUCUGGAGAGCUUUCGUCUUAGCUGGUUCAGGCUGAAGUUGGGUUCUUCUGUGCAGUUCCUGUGGAGGGACACGAUAGAAGUAUAUACAUAGAAAGUUAUUAUUUAUAAGUUACAACAAACAAAAUUUCUAGGCACUAGAAGACAAAUUGAUACAGUCUUACUUACAACUAUUCAGAAAUCUCCAAAAAGACAGAUGUAUACAAUAACAACAAAAAGGAAGGUAUUACGUAAAAUACAACAGACAACGGAAUUCUGGAGAAGAUCAGAAAAUGACUUGCAGUUUAUUAUUCUGCGUAGGUAACCUUUCCAAUCAGAUUCACAUGUUUACAGGCUCCCACAAGGCAUACAUUGUUCUGCAUAUCGUGUGUUCUGUAGAGUUUCUCUUUUCAGAAUUAAGACACACUUGUGGUGUCACAUUUUGUGACUAUAACUUUUUCCAAGAUCUGUCUGAAGGAUAUUUUGAGUUAACAACUGCUAAAAUAAAAAUAUGAAUAUUUUAUAAACUAAGGCCCCCCAAAAGUAUGGGCUUUCCCCCAUAUAUCAACCCAAAUUAACUUGCUUGCUCAGUUGGCUGUAGAUAAUGAGCCAAUUCUUGCUCAUGAUAAAGUACAACAUAUUAUUUCAAAAGGGCUUGUCUUCAGAAUAAGAUGGAUACUAUCUUCUUUGUUGCCUUCUGCCUGACCCAAAAUAAGACCCCUCAUUCAUCAGUCUUGAAAAUUAAGAUUAACAAGAAUAAAGUUCAAUAGGGAUGCUUUGCCUAAAAGGCUGAAUUCACUGUACAUAUAACCCCUCAGUUUAUUCUGUUAGGUUACAGGGUAAUGUAUUUUAAUGUUACAUUCAAUAUGCCAAGUAAAAUGUUCCACCCAUUUUGGACUCUAGUGCAGUUGGAAUUUAAGUUUUCGAAGUUGACUUUUGAAGGCUUAGAACCACAGCAUCCAUAUUUGGAUGACCAUACUGUGAGCUCAGUCUGAAGCCCCACAUCUUUGCAGCUCUUUUAUCCCCAGCCUAAAACUUCACAAUCUAUAGAGAUUUCUGGCCCAAUGCAAUGCUGUUGGGACUCUAGCUAAGUGAGAGAAACUUGGCAAGAGCUAAGAUUUCAAGUCCAUAGCAUAGUGUUCCCUUUAUUUAAUAUUAGUUCUAGCCAUGCCUAGAUUCCCCUAACUCGGUUCUGGCCUUCAAGGUACACUGUGCAAACACAUGUGAUUGCUGUUGUGUAAUGGUGACAGACUUAUACAGAAGUGCACAAAGAUACGAUGAUGCCUCUUGUAUCCUAAUCCAUCACAACUGGUGGCCUCUCUGGAAAUAGUUUUCUUUUUCCCUUGCUCCAACCUUGCUCCAUCCAUGCUCAGGAGUGAAUGGAUUAAAGGAAUAAAAAUGUAACAAGUUGGAAUGCAAAAGCAAUAGCAAUAGCAAUAGCACUUACAUUUAUGUACCGCUUUAUAGCCAGAGCUCUCUAAGCGGUUUACAAUGACAAUGAUUUAGCAUAUUGCCCUCAACAUUCUGGGUACUCAUUUUACCGACCUCGGAAGGAUGGAAGGCUGAAUCAACCUUGAGCCCCUGGUCAGGAUCAAACUUGUAACCUUCUGGUUACAGGGCAGCAGUUUUACCACUGUGCCACCAGGGGCUCAAGUAAUUCAACACUUCCACAAGACAGAUCACUGCAAUGCUUGUGACAAUAAACUGUAUUUCACUAUCAGUAUGAAAAGCCUGGAUGAACUUUAAAAUUUAGCACAACACUAUUUGAACAAUCUGACCAGCUUACCUGGUAAUUACCAAAAAUAUUUGCUUAUGGGUGAAUUUUGUUCAGUCAAAUAUACUACUAUAAAAGCUACAGGGAAAGUACAAGUUCUGCCUGUAUCAUUCAAAUGCCACAUUGCAAGGUUUGUCCCAGACACAUCCCAGAUGGAGGCAAACAAAAAUUUGGUUCCAGAUCAAUGCCAACCCACAGGCAGCUGGAAAAAUUCUAUUAAUAUUGACUACAUAGGACGGGAGUGGAUUCAAGCAUAGUGGCUAUAGCAUUCCUUGCAGAAGUAAAUGCUUUCUAGAACCCAGGGUCAAAGUGACCUUUCCUCUGACUUUGGCAAAGUCUUUAGAAUUAUGUGAAGCUUAAUAGUUCUAGUUUAUGAAAACAUAUUGUGACCCAGUGCAGUCGGAAAAUGAACCAGAGUUCCUGAGUUAGAAGCAAGCCAUGUGUUAUCUCACACUCUCCCCUUUCUCCAAAGUCUUGUGUAAAUUCUCUACCCUCACCUACACUUGUCAGCCAGCCAGGAAAAAGAACCCUUUUUGCUCUUGGGACUGUUGCUGAAAAGGUAAAAAGCAAAGUAAGGAUUAUAGUUGAACACUUCAGGUAAGCAGAUCACCUGUGGACCAACCAAAAUCCAUUGGGUUCCAUCCCUUACCCCAUGAACUUUGCUCUAGACCAGGCCUGCUCAACAUAGGCCCACAAGCUAUUUUUGGACUACAACUCACAUAAUCCCCAGCCAGAAUGGCCAAUAGUCAGGAAUUAUGAGAGUUGUAGGUCAACAUCUGCAGGAGGGCCGAAGUAGAACAGCCCUUCUAGACCAUACUCUGGCACAAUACUCUUCAUUUCUACCCCGAUCCUUUCUACCAGGGAUGGAGCACAUGAUCAAAUGUUACAAACUGAAAUGAACUUGAAGAUACUCCUAAAUUCACUUUGAGAACACUGAAUAAGCUUGAGUUAUCAAGCGGAGUUUAAAAACCUUACACGGUUAACUUUAGCCCAGGAUGUUAAAAGCAACACAUAACAGUAAACCCAGAUAGCGGGGAAAGGGGAAUGUGUGCAUGAAAAGAGAAGUAGAGAAGGAAUAGGCAAUUUUAUGGCCCGCUGCUAUUCCCUAAAUCCUCAUUUAUUUGUACAUCUGCAUUAUGGCCUAUGAGUUCUCCAAAGGUACAAAAUAGCAAAUACAUAAAAACUAUGUAUUUUUACUCACCUGUGAAUAGCUAAGAACACAAUGGUACGGAAGUCUGAAGACUUUUGAUAUGACUAGCCUACAAUAGUGAUGAGCAGAAACUUGGGGAGAGGAGAGACUGAAUAAUAAAUAAAUAAAUCCAGACUGGCUGGAGCCCUGCAGAGGGCUCUCUAGAGACUGGGGAUACAACACCUUGUUGCAGUGCUACAUGUUUGCAUAUAAAUGCUAACUUGGCAAAGAGGCACCUUUAAUGUGGUGAUUCUCUUUUAUUUAGCAGGUGGAGAGUAACUGGCCCUAUCCAUCCCCAGCACAGUACCUCCAGUGACCAUUGCUGGUGUCUAUAUCUUAUGUUUCUUUUUAGAUUGUGAGCCCUUUGGGGACAGGGAUCCAUAUUAUUUAUUUAUUAUUUCUCUGUGUAAAAUGCCCUGAGCCAUUUUUGGAAAGGCGGUAUAGAAAUCAAAUAAAUAAUACAUACAUAAUAAAAUAAAUGUGGCUAUUCCACAAUAGUCCUAUGUCACUCUUUCAACUCUGCAUUCUCAGUAUACGCCUUCACUCCCUAAGCUUUUCUUCAAACUGGAUUCUGACUCAGGCCGCAUUCAGACGUAACGUGUAACUGCAGUUAAUCAUGGCCAAGGUUGUAACUCCUUUAUGCUCAAACGUGCAAAACCACGGUUAUGGGCCGAAAGCUACCUCUGGUUGGCCUCACCAAACUCCGAUUUGAACCUUUGGUUAUCUCUAAGGUUCACUAACCAACACCUGAGGUUUGGAUGCCAAAGUGUUAUGCCCGACUGCUGAUGCAGUUAUAAAUGUGGUUAGGAGCAGAUUUUCAAAUCACGAUCACAGAGGUGAUGGCGCAGACAUGCCUGAGGAUGCGGCUUCUCAAUAUUUUCAGUGCUUCUCACUGGCAGCCUCUCGGAAAAUCAGCCCCACACCUCCUGUCAGCUAUGUAGCUAUAGAGUUGGCACACUACAUCCCACAGACCCCAUCCUGGACUUGUCAGCCUGUCAAGCAGCACAGUUGCUUGGGGCAACCCCAAUUCCACCCUGUACCUUGCUCCCCCCCCCAACCUGGCAAGCAGUAGGGCAAGGAGUUUAAGGUAUAAGAGGCAGACCAAAGCAGGCAACCUGGAUCAGCAAAAUUCCAUUUUUUUCCACAUAUAGGUUGGGGAAGGGUGUGUGUGUUGGGACUGCUGUGUGUUGGAAAGCGGUGAGCAAGGGUACCUCAGAGACUACUUCCCUGAUCCAGAGGACAGCGGCCAAACUGCCGCAAAAACACGCUCACUGAAUGGCCAUCUGCACCUGUGCACAGGUGGACCAUCGCCUACAGCUCUUACAGUCACCCUCACUGCCCUGGGUGGAGGAGGAAAGGAAAGUACCCCUCCCACAAUUCCAUAUGCCCACUUAUCUGCAUACAGUGCACAGAUGAAACGCACCCAGGAGUUUUGAAUUCGUAUAAAUGUACUUCCCAUUGGUCCACUCCAUGGCUGCGCACACGGCCAGGCUAUGGCACACGGAGUGUCAGAAUAUCUUCUUGGGUGCAUGCAAGGUUUCAGAGGGAUUUGGGGAGAGGCAGGUAGUCAAUAAUAUGUUCUAUUUUUUACCAGAGAGAGUUGGGGGCCCCACUUGGGUUCAUUGGCAACUAAGUGGGUGGCUCAAUUCAUGAGCUUGCAGUCCAUGGGUGGGAAUCACCCUUUGCAGGCAUAGCACAGCGGCAUAGCACAGCACCACCAUAUUCCGAAUAGACUAGCCCUCUAAUGAGAGCAUGAGCCCACUGGAAAAGCGGUCAGACAGCAGAUUUGUGAUGGGUCUGGAUGGACCGCUUUGCCGAGGUCACCCCUCGCAACAUCUGGUUAUGUUUGGACAGACAUGGAGAGGAGAGCUGGUCUGUGGAGAGGAGAGCUGGUCUUGUGGUAGCAAGCAUGACUUGUCCCCUUAAGCUAAGCAGGGUCUGCCCUGGUUGCAUAUGAAAGGGAGACUAGAAGUGUGAGCACUGUAAGAUAUUCCCCUCAGGGGAUGGAGCUGCUCUGAGAAGAGCAGAAGGUUUCAAGUUCCCUCCCUGGCUUCUCCAAGAUAGGGCUGAGAGAGAUUCCUGCCUGCAACCUUGGAGAAGCCGCUGCCAGUCUGCGAAGACACUACUGAGCUAGAUAGACCAAUGGUCUGACUCAGUAUGUGGCGACUUCCAAUGUUCCUAUGUUCCUAGACCCCCAGCAUCCUUUGCCCUCCCCUAUUUGCAUAUCCCAUUCUAGCAAAUGUGGAUUUCCCCCUCUUCUCCCGUAAUGAAAGCAGAAUUCAACUGCCCUCCCCCGGGUGGUGUGUAGUGCUUUCAAGGUGCAGGGCUACUUGAAGGGGCAGCAGUGCCAUUGCUGGCAGAAGAAGCAUUGACACUGAAGGGCAUUUAAAGGGCUUUCAAUGCCCCUUUCCUGCUGAGAGCUGGCGAAGUGCUCCAAAAAUGGAUGAUCACUCUCGGCAUGCCCCUUCAAGAUCAUAGCCAAUCUCCACUGCCCUGCUGAUGCAGUGAUGCUUUGUCCACAGUCUGGCUGUGGAGCUGGUUGGGAUCAGCCUCAGAGGCCAAGCAGCAGAAAAGGGCUCCCUUCUCCUGCUACUGGAGUUUGGCAGUUUCGUGAUUGUGCGCAGAGUGAUUUUGAGUUUUAAAGUGAAACCCUGGCCAUGAUUAACUGCGGUUAUCCAUUAUGUCUGAAUGCAUCCUCAAAGUAAAUUUCAGUUCCCUCACAAUCAAAACAAUUGUCAGCUAGGGAUGCUCUCCCUCCAGCUCCCACUGCCAAAAGAAACUGAAUUUGGAAUAUUCCAGUCAAAUACUUGUAAAACCUUGAGUGUUUGAUGUUAAUACUCAAAAAAACACUAUUAAUUUUUUUUGCCACAAUUCUCUAACCCAUCCCUGACAAUCUCUCCCAUACUUUCCUGAAGCCACAAAAGCCUUUCCUUUGGGAAGGGUUAGGUUAGGGCAUAAUGGGCAGUAGAGUGCUCCAUUCUAGACAGGAAAGGUUGCAUAAGGCCUCUCUUUAGCUGCAAAUGAUGUACAAAAAAUUGUUUCCUGCUGUGGAAUCAUGGGGCUUGGUAUUCCCUAACUACAAGCAUAAGUAGAUUAAUUCACAUUUUGCUUCCUCCCAUUUUAAUGAGGUCUUUAUGUGUUCUUCAGAUAGGUGUGCUUAAAACUCACAUGGAUCUCUAGCAUACUAUGAUUUCAAACUAUACAGCUCAAUAGCUACACAGGGCUCACAAACUGAUAGUUAAAUACAAGACCAUGAUUACCUCAAGAUUUGCAAUUUCUUUCUAUAAUAUUUUGGGUUACCAGCUAGGCUAAAUAAAUCUAAAUUAUCUUCAUGACGAAUAUAGGUACCUUAACAUAUGGGAGGGAAAACAAGAUGGGAUAAUGAUACUCUAUGCCAACAAUAUCACAGAUAAGUAUUUUUAAAGGGUAAUGUUUCGAUAAACAGUCAGAAAUAUCUUUUUGAGCUUCUUGGCUUAAGUUAAUUUGUAGGCAAUUGAUUGUGAUUGGUUUAUUAUUUAAAGCACCUGGAGAUAUUUAUAUAGGGGAAAACAGACAAUAUUAUGUAUCACUGCUAAAGAGAAUUGUGAUCUGCAAGAGAAAUAUUUUUGCGGGAUACGGGUGUAUGUGUACAGAAUAUCCUGAAAUAAAGAAUUAUCUAAAUAACAUCAGCCUCUUUAAAGCUUAAUGUUUAUAUGUAUAGAAAUAUGUUACUGAAAACCACAUUAAUUAUAACUCCAGGUUGUUCAGUUUUUUAAAUAAUUUAUGGAAUGAGUUUGGCAAAGGACAAGCUAGUAUUGUUCCUAGGUUGAUAUUCCAAGAACAGCAAAACAGAAGAGACUUGUCCUAGUGUAAUGCAACCUUUCAAUGGAAGAUAAUUCUGUUCAUUAAUGGCAUAUCAAGGAUCAUCCCCCCCCCGCAAAAAUAAAUGAAUCAGCUUCCUUAUUUACUUAAUUAAACUGCUAUGAUGUUCUUAAUAAUAAUAACAUAAUAAUAAUAAAUAUUAAUAUAAUGAUAAUUUUAUUAUUAUUACACUAUUUAAUAGUAACAAUAUUUAAUAAUAUAGU